GAUCCCAGUCUUUUAAGGAGAGAAUUGAGCUCGGCCGGAGUUCAUUCAUUCCGAAGCUGGUAUGCCUGUAGUUUUAUUGGCCCWUUUAAGCCUGGGAGCUAGUAUGUGUGUUUCGUGACAAAGACAAAACGAUUAUUCGCUUCUUGAGCUUUCUUCUCGUACCAAAUUUGCUAUAUUUGCACGUUUUUUUCGKAUUUUUGCUCCGGAACAAAGUUGGCAGAGACAUCUGAAGAGCAAUCAUCGAUAUUAAGCGUGGCAUUGAGUACUGAUGUAGCCGAUGGGAAGCGCGAAGCGAAGAGAUCCGCGAAGAAAGUCCAAAAGUACACAAAAACUGCGAUUUCCCUUAGGCGAUCUCGCUCAAAGAAGAUCAGAAUUAAAAGAAUACUUUUUACGAAAAUCAAAGCAAUUAUUUAAUGCUUUGAGGAAGAAAUCUAGCCGAAUUAAUAAGAAAGCUGUAACGUAAUAUUGUCCCGACAGUCAUGGAGGUCAUGUAGAUCAUGCAUGCAUUUAACUAUUUAAUAAUUCAAGGCUUUUACUCUUUCUCUUUAUGAUUACUUUUUCGUUCCAAACGUUUAUAAAAAAACACUUUAAUUGUUU